UACGUAGGGGGCGAGCGUUGUCCGGAUUCAUUGGGCGUAAAGAGCUCGUAGGCGGCUUGGUAAGUCGGGUGUGAAACCCCCAGGCUCAACCUGGGGACGCCACUCGAUACUGCCAUAGCUAGAGUCCGGUAGGGGACCACGGAAUUCCUGGUGUAGCGGUGAAAUGCGCAGAUAUCAGGAGGAACACCGGUGGCGAAGGCGGUGGUCUGGGCCGGCACUGACGCUGAGGAGCGAAAGCGUGGGGAGCGAACAGG
rnacentral:rRNA from 2 species